UACGUAGGGGCCUAGCGUUGUCCGGAUUUAUUGGGCGUAAAGAGCUCGUAGGCGGUUCGGCAAGUCGGUUGUGAAAUCUCCACGCUCAACGUGGAGGGGCCAUUCGAAACUGCCGUGACUUGAGUCCGGUAGGGGGGUGUGGAAUUCCUGGUGUAGCGGUGAAAUGCGCAGAUAUCAGGAAGAACACCCGUGGCGAAGGCGGCUCUCUGGGACGGUACUGACGCUGAGACGCGAAAGCGUGGGGAGCGAACAGG
rnacentral:rRNA from 1 species